GAUAGGCUAAUUAAGGGCGUAUGGGGAAUGCCUAGGCUCUCAGAGGCGAAGAAGGACGUGAUAAGCUGCGAAAAGCUGCGGGGAAUGGCACAUACAUUGUGAUCCGCAGAUAUCCGAAUGGGGCAACCCACUAUAUUGAAGAUAUAGUAUCCGAUUUAUCGGAAGCAAACCCGGGGAACUGAAACAUCUAAGUACCCGGAGGAGAAGAAAACAAAAGUGAUUCCGCUAGUAGUGGCGAGCGAACGCGGAAUAGCCCAAACC
rnacentral:rRNA from 1 species